AAAGUUAUUGUCUUGUACACUUGGAAAAAAAAAUCCCCCACUCACUGUAAACAUAAACCGUAUUUAAAAAAAGAGUCUUACGAUACUCUCUCUUUUUCUUCUCCUCCUCCGCCACAGAACAACGAAAUUGACAAGAGGAUGUCCGGAAGUUGUGAACGGCUCAGUUGGGUCGGAUCGAGGAAGAAACCCGACAACUCUCCACCAUCCGCGAGAGGCGAACCCAUGGCGGAGCUUCUCUUCGUCGGUAGCGGAGAGGGAGAAGACAGAGGAAGAGGACGAUGCGGUGAAGAUAUAUGAGCAACGGUGGUUUGUUCGUGCAAGACGCUUGCGAAUCAUCUCACCAACUGUGGUUUUCAGUCUACUCCUCGAGAUGAGAGGGUGCAGCAGUCUCUAUUUGUUCUCAAUGAUCAUCAGAGUAGAGAUUCGAGCAGCUGAUUCAGGGGAUGAUUAAACCGUAUAAAGUUGCGUCCUUUACUAUUAUUUUUUGUAUUGUUGUUACAUUUGUUUCAGGGGUUGAUAUAAUAGUAUAAAGUUGGUUUCCUUAUGAUUUAUGGUAUUGGUGUAUUUGUUUCAGGAGAUCGUGUAAUCAAGGCGUUUAUGAUUCAACGUGGGGAUAAUUCGGCGAAUGAUGGGACUGGUGGUGGUGAAUCUAUCUAUGGCUGGGACAAGAGAGAGCUUUCCUGAUUCUUGAUGAUACAGAGAAUGCAGCUACGUCUGCAGAUUAGAUAUUUUUCCCAAUGAGAGAGCGUUUUAUCUGAAGUAUCAAACUGCUGAUGGAAUAUGUAAGGCAAGGUUUACAUAUGAAACUGUCUCUACUUUUGGGUAACACACAACGAUAAGUAUUAAGGAAGAUGCACAUGAUGAUAAGAAGCAAAGGGAGCUGAUUCAUCUUGCUACUCAGCUGAUUCAUCUUUGGAACCUGAUGGACACUCCUGAUGAAGAAAGGGAGCUGUUUGAUCACUUUACUUGUAAUCAUAUGAAAUAUAUAUAUGUUAGCUUCGGUCAAUUUAAUUUUAUUACCAAACUACAGUAGUUGUUGUGUUGCUGUAUUUGUAAAACUACAAUGCAAAAUGCCAUAACUUUUAUGAAAAUGACUUUUGUAUC